rnacentral:rRNA from 1 species
GAUGAACGCUGGCGGCGUGCCUAAUACAUGCAAGUCGAGCGAACGGACGAGAAGCUUGCUUCUCUGAUGUUAGCGGCGGACGGGCGAGUAACACGUGGAUAACCUACCUAUAAGACUGGGAUGACUUCGGGAAACCGGAGCUAAUACCGGAUAAUAUUUUGAACCGCAUGGUUCAAAAGUGAAAGACGGUCUUGCUGUCACUUAUAGAUGGAUCCGCGCUGCAUUAGCUAGUUGGUAAGGUAACGGCUUACCAAGGCAACGAUGCAUAGCCGACCUGAGAGGGUGAUCGGCCACACUGGAACUGAGACACGGUCCAGACUCCUACGGGAGGCAGCAGUAGGGAAUAUUCCGCAAUGGGCGAAAGCCUGACGGAGCAACGCCGCGUGAGUGAUGAAGGUCUUCGGAUCGUAAAACUCUGUUAUUAGGGAAGAACAUAUGUGUAAGUAACUGUGCACAUCUUGACGGUACCUAAUCAGAAAGCCACGGCUAACUACGUG